rnacentral:misc_RNA from 1 species
AAGAACAGCAAGGGUUGACAAGUUUCUUGAUAUAUUUGAGAAAGAAGGGUGUAGGAUGGUGCCAAUGACAUGUGCUGAGCAUGAUAAGCAUGCUGCAGGUUCACAGUUCAUUACACAUACAAUGGGGAGGGUGUUGGAGAAGUUGGGUUUGGAGUCAACUCCUAUUAAUACUAAAGGGUAUGAGACUUUGUUGAAUCUGGUGGAUAAUACUGCUAGUGAUAGCUUUGACUUGUACUAUGGGCUGUUUAUGUACAAUAAAAAUGCUAUGGAGGAGUUGGAAAGACUUGACUUGGCUUUUGAGGCUUUGAAGAAGGAGUUAUUCGGGCAUUUACAUGAUUUGUUGAGGAAGCAAUUGUUUGGGAAGGCGGAGGAAGCAGGACAGAGGCGUGUCUUAUCCAAGUUGCCCAGGAAUGGCUAUGCGCUGCCAGCCCCUUCAUCGGAUGCUGUUAAACCUGAGAACAACUGAGGGAAUUAUGAAUCUUGGUAUGUCUGCAUUUUUUGUUGGUGACCUCUAGCUUUGGGAUUCAAAGGAUGUAUUAUUAACACGAUAUUUAAUGUGGCAAUUCAAUAAUAGCAAUGUAACUAUGCUACAAGGACAUACUCAUUCUGUUGUUUAUCCUGCUGUUAAUGAGAAGAUUAAAGAGAAGCACUAGUUCAACCUUGGAGUUGGGGUUAGGUGUUGAGUUGUAAGAUCAUCAAAAGAACUAUAUUUUGACCUGUAACUUCGUCCUUUUGAUAUUUUAGGAACAUUUGUGGUAGGAGAGUGACUUUUGAUGUGAUUACAUUUCAGAUGUUGAAGAAUGUAGUUUAGGAUGGAAAUUCAGUUAACAGUUAUCUAUUUGUUGCUGGAUAAACUAGUAUGUAUCUCAUGUAUUUAUGUUUCAAGAGGUGAGUUAUGUGUUAGCUUAUUUCUUCUGAAG